UUUACAUUUAAAGGACAUAAAGCGUUUAAUGGUGUGAUUAUUUUGUUUGUGUUAUUUUUUAGGAAGCUUACCAAUUCUGUGAACAAGAACUAAACGAGGUGUGGGAAUAUGCUCGCAAAUGGUUCUUAGACGAGAAUGAGGCGUCUUGUCAGCGAUUGGCUAAACUCAUGCGUGAUGGACGAAAUCGAAAGGUCAUGAUCCAUGCAUCGGAAAUAAAAACGAAAUUUAGAGAGUAUUUACGUAGUAAUGAACGUCUGUCAGGGUUACUAAUCUCAUCUAAGAUGGACGCAUACAUAACUGCUUGCAUCAGUGUUUGCCUGCUGAUGACAGCUAACACUCCACAAAUCGUCCUUGAGUGUCCUGGAUUGAAAACGAAUUCUAAUCGACAAAAAUAUGCUGCAAAAAUAAACUUUGAUGGAUCUGUAUACAGAAGUUAUACCAGAAGCGGCAAGUAUUUGGCAUAUUGUGUUUGGCCAGCAACUCGUCUUCAUCAAAAUGGCCCAGUGAUAUGUAGGGGUGUAGCACAGGGUUGUUAAUAACCGAUCAAGUAUGUACUUAUGUAGUAUUGGUAGAAAUGCGCUCGUAAAAAGAAAUGUCAUUUAAAGAAGACAAACUGUCUGCUUUUUCAACUAAGCGUAUACAAACUUCAAAAUACCUUUAGGGUAUACCUUUAUUAAAAACGAUAUGGGUUAAAUACUGCAUGUUUUACAUACUACCGCGAUUACAUGUUAAAUCUCACAUCGGACAUUUUGAUAUAUGCUCCAGUUAAUAUGUAAGUUUAAGCAUCGUGUAAUGUGAAUACAAUGAUGUCGCGUAAUUUAAAUAACUCAUAUUUGUGAAGUGUAAUGUUGUUUUAUAGGACUGUUCUGUGUCGGCUUUUGUAAGUUGUAAAUUUGUGUGUUAUGCUUCAUAAACACAUAUACAUUGGACUGUGCACGUUUUGUAUAUGACACUUAAUAUUAGAUAAGUUCAAAGAAAGACAAGAUUAAAUGCAAUUUUCCGGCUUUUCAUGAGAAAAUCUGAAUAAAUUUGACGCACAGUUUCAAUUUUCGUCUACCGUGAACAAACGUACGCGGGAAUGCCAUGAGCGUACUUGUGGGUAACAUACCCGAUUGAUUGUUUACUUGUGAAAAAUGACAACGCUGACGAUAGUUACUUCAUUUUUAGCCUUGGAGCAUACAUGUACACAUGCUUGCGCAUGCGGGAUGACUGCGUCUGCGGGG